rnacentral:rRNA from 1 species
GAUCUUUAUAUAUUAAAUAAUUAGUAAACGUUAGAUUAAUUUUUUUUUUAAUUAUUGAUAUAUUAUAUUGGGGUAAUAAUAAAAUUUUAAAAAUUUUUAUUUUUUAUUAUCAACUAUGAUUGAUUUUUUGAUCCAAUAUUAUUGAUUAUAAAUUUAAGUUACCUUAGGGAUAACAGCGUAAUCGAUUUUUGAGAGUUCUUAUUGA